GGUUGGAAGGGUUCGAUGGUUUUAAUUAUAAUAUUAUAUUUAUAAAUUAAACUCGAAUAAUUGUUAAUUGUUAUAUUGGUAAGUAUACCUAUCCCAUUUUAUAAGGAAAGCGUUUGGUUUUCAAUUGUUUGGGGCAGAUUUCAUGUUAACAGAAAAUUUAGAACCAUGGUUAAUAGAAAUUAAUAGUAGUCCUGGCUUGAAUCCAACUACGAGUAUCAUUGCAAGAAUUGCAUCGGCGUUAUUAACAGAUAUCAUCAAAGUUACGGUGGAUUUCCCACUUAAUUCAAAUGCAGAUACUGGACUUUUCGAGAACAUUUACACUGACAAACUUGUGAAACAUUGUAACACGGAGAAAAACAUUACAAAAGAAUAUUAUUACCACCCAAAAAACAAAACAAUUAAAUAAACAAAGCCACAAAGACACUGAACAGAAGAAAAAGAAAAUUGCGAGAUAAAUACUUUAAUAUAAUUUUGUAAAUACUCAAAAAAAUUUCUCCUGUGAAGCGGUCAAUUAUGGUCAUGUAUUUUAACUCAUCACGGAAAUUAAUAUUUAAAAACCCAAGUGAAAUAAUAAAAAGUAAUUGAAUUUGACGUUCUUAAAGUCUUACUUUAGACGUAUAGCACUAUGUAUAUAUAUUUAACAUAAUAUAUUAAUACAUAAAGCGACUAGCAAGCUGACUCCUCCGUAGUAUAGUGGUAACUGGUAAA